AUGUUUUGUGGAUCCAUCAAUGGAACUCCUCCUGCCCCCAGUGAAGAAUCAGGACCACAGAGACUCUUGUGCUCUGCAUGGGGCUUCAACCCUCAAAUUAAAUGGCUUCUGAGUCUCAGCAAGAUCUUCAUCAACUUGACAUCAGCAUGGGUGCAGAUGGACGUUGUCAGUAACCAGUCAACUUCAUAUCCCUCACACAGAGUGGAGCACAGGGAAGGUGUUCACUUGUGAUGUAACUGACAAGUCUCUGAAAAGAAAUGUGAAAAAGGAGAUCAGCCUCUGCUCAGUUUAUUCACGUGCCCCUCCAUUCAUCCACGUGGAGAUUCCCAGCUUUAAGACAGUAAUGAUGACAGAAUCCACAAAAUCUGUGAAAGCAACAUGUUUGGUCCGCACUGUUCUUGAUGCCAAGGUGACCUGGCAGAUGGAUGGGAGAGCCGCAUCUGGUAAAACAGUGAUCCAGGACAAAAACACAACUCAUAUAGUCAGUGAUGUGACAGUUUCAUUAAGUCAAUGGAAACAACUCAAGUCUAUAACAUGUAAAGCUGAACAUAAGUGCUUCUUAUCCACUGAGAGGACUGUGAGUGUAGAAGGGCCUGCAGCUACAGCCCCAUUGGUUGAGAUUAGAAGAUCGCUCAAAGAUUUGCUGAAGGGGGACAGCGCAGUGCUGGAGUGUGAUGUCACACAACUCUCAUCACAUGACCUGUACAUCACCUUUCAGACCAACAGGGUUGACAUCUCUGACAAACAGUACGUUGAUCUUCCUGAAGGCCCAGGCCUCCAUUCCAUCAGUAGAAGCUUCUCUAUUCCUACAAGUUACUGGAAGGAAGACACAAGUUUUAGCUGCACAGUGAACCAAGGCUUCUCCGGCAACUACAAGUCAACCUCCACUGGCAAUGUUUUUGUGGAUCCAUCAAUGGAACUCCUCCUGGCCCCCAGUGAAGAAUCAGGACCACAGAGACUCUUGUGCUCUGCAUGGGGCUUCAACCCUCAAAUUAAAUGGUCUUCUGAGUCUCAGCAAAGAUCUUCAUCAACUUAUGACAUCAGCAUGGGUGCAGAUGGACGUGUGGCAGUAACCAGUCAACUUCUUAUCCCUCACACAGAGUGGAGCACAGGGAAGGUGUUCACUUGUGAAGUAACUGACAAGUCUCUGAAAAGAAAUGUGAAAAAGGAGAUCAGCCUCUGUUCAGUAACUCCAGCAUCAUCUCAGAUACUUGGCAUAUAUGUUCAGGGACCACCACUCCAGGAGCUUCAGAACAAGGGUCCGGUGACUAUCACCUGUCUUCUGGUUGGCCUUUCUCUUAAUGAUUUCUCUGUCACCUGGAAAGUAGGUGGGAACAAGUAUUCCCUCAAUGUCCCUAAGGAGCCACCAGUGAGUCACAGCAAUGGGACGGAGACUUUGCAGAGCUCCCUCAAUGUGUCAGCAGAAGAUUGGCAUGCAUACAAACAAGUGUCUUGCGAGGCAAAGCAUCGAUGUUCCAACCAGAGUUACGAGGACCAUAUUAGCAAAAGCAGAGACCUGUAUCCACCAGCAGUGACGAUAGUGGAAUCAACUGCCUCUGACCAGUUUACUUCAGACGUCCUCGCACUUAUUUGCCUGGUCUCUGGAUUUUUCCCAUCUAACAUCAUAGUGUAUUGGGAACAGAAUGGCCAGAGAAUCCCUGAAGCUCGCUACACCAACAGUCCUACUUGGAAAUACACAGGGAGCAGCACUUACUCAAUGAGCAGCAGACUAAACACAUCCAAAACAGAGGACAACGAGUCUACAUAUUCUUGUGUUGUCAGACAUGAGACAUCUGAAAUACCUUUUAAAAGCACUAUAAAGGAUGUGUUUGCCACAGUUACCCACAGCAAACCUUCAGCCACCUUGCUCCAGGGCUCUGAUGAAAUUGUGUGCCUGGUCUCUAAGUUCAGCCCUGCUUCCAUUAACAUCACUUGGUUACUUGAUGGCAAGGAACUGUGGGACUACAACACUAGUGAACCCCACAGAGGCCCAAAGGGAAGGUUCAGCAUCCAAAGCCACCUUCGUCUGUCCCAAGUCAUCUGGUUACGUGGUGCAAUCCUCACCUGCAGGGUGACACACGUAAACACCACCCUAUCUCUGGAUAUAUCUAAACCAGACAUCUUGGAGGACUGUAAUUUCUUAGAUGACAUCAUGCAUGCAGAAGUAAACCAUGACACAGAUGUGCAAAGCUGGUUUAUGGCUUUCACUUUUCUCGUUUUUUUCCUCAUCUCCAUUAUCUAUGGUGUCUUGGCUACCUUAAUUAAGACUAAGUGAUAAUGAUCAAAGUGCAGAUCCCAUUUAAGGAACCACAUGUGGACUUUGGAGAUGACCUUUUCUAAUUUUAAAGUGUAAUGAUUUGAUUUCUGUUACUUCUUUCUUUUAUUAUUUUAUGAAACCGGUUUGUACUUUAUUCAUUUAUUUGUUAUGUUGCAUGUAUGUAGUGCAUGUGUGUCAGAGGAAAUGAGACAACAAUUAAUAAAUUAAUACAUGAAGCUUUAAAUUCUGACUUUCAGAUUAAAAUACCAAUGUAAUGAACACAUAUUAUAUCACUGGACUCAUUCUUGCAUUUGCAAAAAUAAAAAU